rnacentral:misc_RNA from 1 species
GAUGAAGAACGUAGCGAAAUGCGAUACGUAAUGUGAAUUGCAAAUUCAGUGAAUCAUCGAAUCUUUGAACGCACAUUGCGCCCUCUGGUAUUCCGGGGGGCAUGCCUGUUCGAGCGUCAUUACAACCCUCAAGCUUGCUUGGUAUUGGACAUUGCCAGUUUCUGGCAGGUCUUAAAAUCAGUGGCGGUGCCAUUUGGCUUCAAGCGUAGUAAUUCUUCUCGCUUUGGAGAUCCAAGUGGUUACUUGCCAAUAACCCCCAAUUUUUUCAGGUUGACCUCGGAUCAGGUAGGGAUACCCGCUGAACUUAAGCAUAUCAAUAAGCGGAGGA